rnacentral:rRNA from 1 species
AGAGCGAACGCUGGCGGCAGGCUUAACACAUGCAAGUCGAGCGGGCGUAGCAAUACGUCAGCGGCAGACGGGUGAGUAACGCGUGGGAACAUACCUUUUGGUUCGGAACAACACAGGGAAACUUGUGCUAAUACCGGAUAAGCCCUUACGGGGAAAGAUUUAUCGCCGAAAGAUUGGCCCGCGUCUGAUUAGCUAGUUGGUGAGGUAAUGGCUCACCAAGGCGACGAUCAGUAGCUGGUCUGAGAGGAUGAUCAGCCACAUUGGGACUGAGACACGGCCCAAACUCCUACGGGAGGCAGCAGUGGGGAUAUUGCGCAAUGGGCGGAAGCCUGACGCAGCGACGCCGCGUGGGGGAUGAAGGCCUUCGGGUUGUAAACCCUUUCACCAGGAGCGAAUCAAGACGGUACCUGGGAAGAAGCGCCGGCUAACUACGUGCCAGCAGCCGC